AGGCCAUAUGCAGAUUCUUCCUUACACCAAAGAGAUGGAGAGUUCAACACCGAGAGAGUAGGAAGAAAACCGUGAAUUUUGCAUUCUGCAAUUUCUUCCGUGAAACCAAAGGAUGAAUUUGUGCACGUUGUUUGAGGUUGAGGUUGAGGCAGAAAGUGAUUGAGGUGCUAAGCUUUUGAGGUUGAGCUAUGACGAGCGCGGUGGUGUUGAGCAGAGCUGGUGAAAAUUUGUGUUUGCUUUUAAAUGUUCCGAAUAUAUUAUGUCUUCAUACAUAAUAUUAUUCUUCUCUCGAAUGCUUCCGCUGAAUGUUGUUUCUUUUGAGUUCGUGUAUUGUUAAGAUAGUUUCAUUUGGAGUUGUUGAUUGUUGAGAUAAUACUCUGA